UAUUGUUUUUACCGAGUUCGGUAAAUCAGUUCUUGAUUUGCCGAAGUUCGUUUAUUUUUGUGUAAACAAAUCGCUUUGCCAAAAAUUUUCGGUAAAAAACACCGAAAUCUGUAAAUCAAUCUCAACACAAACGUCAAAUUUCGAGCGUCCUUUUCUCGCAACCUUGAGUGCAACUAUCUUUCUCUGAUAAACACGAUGUAUUAGUGGCAUCCCGCUUGCUCUGUAAAAAAGGCAAAGUCGAAUAGGAAACGUUUCACUGCCAUUUUUUUUCGUUUCGGCGUAGUGAAAAAUCUUUAAUUUUACUAAAAAUAAGUGAAAAAUUAGUGUUUUUUCAACAUUUUUUGUUCAGUUAUCGUUUGCUAAGCGAGGACAGUCUAUCAGGUAGUGUACACAAGAUUCUACAGGAAAUAAAUAACCCGUAAGCCUGAAUAGAACAUUCGAUAUGGGUGGAUUUUGUCAUCAUUCCGAAAGUCGGAACGGAGCGCUAUCUGCCAAAAUACCGGUGGUUUCAUGAUUAUGAUUAAUGAGCCAGGUGAAUUCUACGACAAAUGAUGAAAAUAAUUGCUUUUCACUGUAUAGCUAUUUUCAGUUCCGUCAGUACCAACACUCCAGAUGUCAGGAUGCAAAUUUAAAUUUAUUGAAAUGAACCCGCCCUUUUGGUUGUCACAAAAUUACCAAUAAGUGCCAGCGAAACUGGACGUGACUAUCGUCCGGAGGCCCAGCAGGUCGUGUCGACCGAAAGCAGCAAAAUGUGCAAAUCAAUAAAAAAACAUAAAUAAUAAAUUAUUUUUAGACUUAGUCCAUCCAGUCUUCAAGGCAGGUUAGAUAGUAUUGGUCUAAACCGUCCCAUUGCGAACAAUCAUAAAUAAAAAUAAUAAAUCUCGGCAUCGGUAAACAUUGCGGUUCCUCGGAUCAGACGGUUGGCACAGCACUAACAGCAACACCAGCAGCACAGGGACUUGUACUCGGCAGUUCACCGGACAUUUCAUCCCAUCCUGUUACGGCGUUUACAUUCCGGUUUCUCCGAUAAUUGGUUGUUGCAGCUUAAACAGUGCAGCUCCAGUGCCCAUUCGGAAGACACCGUCGACGGUUAGAUCUCCAUGACGUCUCCUGCACAAAGGUCACCAAAGCUAUCGCACGCAGGUUCCAGUUGUCGAACGGCAUUAACCCAUUCCGAGAACGGCUCUAAUCACAACAGAUGCAGCAGCAAAUGCAAUCGUUGCCACUGGGAUUCAAUCCUGCUGGUAGUCGAGGCGAAGGCGUAGUUGCUGAUGUCGGAUUCCAAUCAAGAAAAAACCUCCAGGGUCCUCUAGCCUUUCUGGAGAAAACUGCUAGCAACUUAUUUUCAGUCGGAAUGUGGAAUGACUGACGGCCAUACGGGUGGAAAGUUCGCAAUUCGAUUUCACCUUCCCCCAAUUGUUACCACUAAGUCAUCCUAGCUGCAAUCCGGAUUUACCCUUAAAACGACGCUGUUUGAAGACCAAAGUUGAAGGAUUUGUGAGCAGUUAAUUGUACCGACGUAUUAACUUUGAGAAGAUGAUUGUUGGACAACUCCACAAUGCAGCCUGUUUGCAACCCGAAUCAGUUCGAGAUUCCCAGAAUUUGUACGGAAACUUUCUCGACAAUAUCGCUUCCGGUUUAGUUGCUUAAGCUCGGCUGAGCAGGCUGUUUUUGAACCGUGUACACGUCUGUCUUUGCUGAGGACCAGGUGAUUUUCAAGGCUGUCCAGAACGUGCUGAAAUCGGUUCGCACCGAGCAUCUUAGCGGACAAUAGACCACCAACGACUUUACCCAGGCUGGAGAUUCGAUGCCAAAGUUCUUUUCUUCGUUCGUCAACCGAAUGCAACAUUGAAAUUUAUAAGGUAUUCGAUCUGUAUUGCGUGCAGUAUGCUACUUAAUCGAAAUUAACUAGGCAUGCGUCAGCCGUUUAAACUUAAAUUUUUAUCUGUUAAGCAAUUUGAACCAAAUCUAAUUUUUUAUUCACUUUAUCAAUCAAAAGCAGUAAUUGAUUUAAUAAUGUCUUGGUUAAUUUAUUUAAAAAAUAUUUAAUCAAAAAAUAUAUUUCAAGUUGAACUACAAAUACAAAUACACGUAUUAAGACUAUUAAUUUGUUAAAAAUUUUGACUGAACAUUUAAUGCCCAUCUGUUCAUUAGAAUUGAAUUUAGAUUGAAUCUUUAAUUAAGUCUUAUAAUGUGAUAAUAAAGUUAAAAUGUGAUAAUAAUAAUUCAACAGACAUCAUAAAUA